CCAUUGGACUUAAGCAACUUAAGCACUGGCCACAUAGGGCUGUUAAAGGGUGAGUGAAUCUUACUGACCACUCCCUGGCUCUCCAAAAUCCUCUUAAGAAUAUGGAUG